AUUGCUGGGUUCAGUCUCCUUUGGGGUUGGACUAUAGGAUUAUACUCAUUCUCCAUAAUAAUCAUGUGCAUACAAAUAGCUGGACUGAUUCCUUUUAUGCUAGGUAUAGUCCACCCUAAGGCUCUUUUGUGUUUUCUCAGGACUUCAAUCAGUUUGCCUUCCUGUUCUAUAGUCAAAGAAGAUGAAAUGAUUACUGAAAAUAAUUCAGGCUCAAGAAACACAUAUUUUAAAUAAGAAGGAAGAUCUUUGAGUUCAAUUUUUAAUUGAACUCCUUCUUAUGAGACUUUCUCAUUUUCUGACUCUUUUUCCAGUAUUUUAGCUUAUUCUCUAAUUAUGGGGUAAUCAUCACUUAUGGUACCUGACCUAGCCAAACAUCUUUCCAGUGAAUCAGUAAUUAACUAAUUAUCUUUGUAAUUCGUCUACAAGGUCAUAUAGUACAUCAAUUUGAAAACAAGAUGAUGAUGACUCAUCCCCAAGGAAUUUCAUCAUUUUCUGCAUGUCAAAAAUCACUCUUUCCUCAUCAACUCGCAAUAUUUAUUGUCCUUGAUGAACAUCAAUAAUUGGUCUCCCUAUUGCAAGAAAUGGUCUACCUAAAAUUAAUGGUACCUCAGUAUUUUCUUCCAUUUCAAGCACUAUAAAAUCUAUUGGGAAUACAAAUUUGUCAACUCUAACAAGGAUAUUUUCAAUAAUUCCUUUUGGUCUCUUAGUACUUUGAUCAGCUAAUUGAAGAGACACACCAGUAUCUUUCAUUUUACCAAGUUCUAGUUUCCUGAAAAUUGAAAAAGGCAUUAGAUUUAUUGAAGCACCUAAAUCACAUAACACUUUUUCAAAAUGAGCACCUCCCAUGGUACAAGGAAUUGUAAAACUUCCCGGAUCACCCAAUUUCUGUGGGAGCUUAUUUUUAAGUAUAGCACUACAUUUUUCUGUAAGCUUAACCACUGAAACAUCUUCCAAUUUUCUUUUACUUGAUAAAAUUUCUUUGAGAAAUUUAGCAUAUGAAGGCAUUUGCAUCAAAGCAUCUGUGAAAGGUAUGUUAAUGUAAAGUUGCUUCAAAAUAUCUAGAAAAUUUAAAAACUGUUUGUCAAGCUUUUCUCUUUUCAUCUUUUGGGGGAAAGGGAGAGGUACAGAGUGAGGAUUUGUUAUCAAUUCAUUUUCUAGUACAUUUUUCCCUUUAUUCUUUUAUUUUUUUGGAAACUUAGAUUCCAUUUUAUUCUCACCUUCAUUUACCUUUUCCACUUCUUGUGGCUUUUCUUCUCUAUCUGCGUAUAGAUCAUCAAGAGAUUUACCUGAUCGUAGAGAGAUGGAUUUAAGGUAUUCUUUUGGGUUUUUCUCUAUGUUGCUUGGUAGAGCACCUUGAGUUUGUCCAGACAUGAGGGUUGCUAAUUGGCUUACCUGAAUUUCCAAAUUCUUGAUAACUGAAUGUUGACUUUCAACCUUCUCGUCAAUAGCCUUAAUGAAUUUGUACAUCAGAUUUUCAAGGCUUUGUUGAUGAGCUCUUUGAGGCUGCUGCUGAUAUUGUUGAAAAUUUUGUUUCCCUCAAUUUUGAUUUUAAAAACAAGGAAGUUCAUGUACCUGCUGCUUUUAAUUAAAAAAUCUUUGAGGAUUUUCAGUACCAUUAGGAUCACUCCAUUGAAAUCCUGGAUGUUUUUGUGCCAUGGGACUACCGAAUGAGUGAUUAUUUCUAUAACCAAUCACAUUUACUUGUUCCUCAUUUUGCGUUGAAGCUUGACAUUCAUGAUUCGGAUGAUUACCUUUACAAAAAUCACAAUUCUCAAGUUGGGAUGAUGAUAGAGCACCUGCCUGAAAAGCUUUGACUUUUUGUGUUAAGGUCGCAAUUUGUUGUGCUAAUGAAUUCAAAGCUUCAAUUUGAUUUACUCCUGCCGUUUUCUUGAUAAUCAUUCUGUUUGAGGGCCAUUGAACAACAUUUUUCGAAAUUUCAUUAAGUAUUUGCAUUUCUUCUGCAGUGGUUUUUUUCAUUAUUGAUCCUCCUGAUGCUGCAUCAAUUACAUUUCUAGCAGAGGACUUAAGACAGUGAUAAAAAAUGUAUAAAAUGUCAGGGUCUUGGAUACCAUGAUGUGAGCAUUUUCUUAACAUUGCUGCUAAUCUUUCCCAUGUCUGAUAUACAGAUUCAGUAUUUGUCUGCAUAAAAUUAUUGAUUUCUUAUUUUAUUUUAAUAGUCUUUACAGGUGAAAAAUAUUUAUUAAGAAAUUUUUGGGUCAUUUGGUCCCAUGUUAUAAUAGAACCUCUUGGUAGGCUUCGCAACCAUGUUUUGGCUUCCCUUUUUAAAGAAAAAGGAAAAAGUCGUAACCUAAUAGCGUCUGUUGUAACACUAUUGUACCUGCAAGUUUUAACUAAUUCAAGAAAAUCAAUUAAAUGGGCAUGGGGAUCUUCACUUCCAUCACUAGUAAACUGACAUAACUGUUGGACAGUCUGAAUCAAGCCUGUGCGGAUUUCAAAGUUAUUUGCUGCUAUUGGUGGUCUCUUUACACUUGAUUCUCCAUCAAAAUGAUCUGGUCUUGCAUAAUCACGGAGUAUUCUAUCACGUCGUGGUACCACCUCAUCAAACUGUUCUUCUACUUGAUGUGGUGGAAGCUGAUUAUUGGGUUCUUCGUUCUCUAUUUCCUCUAAUGUAAAAAUUUGAGAUCGUGAGAUUUGUUCUUUUCGCAACAAUCGCAAGGAUUUUUUAAUUUCUGGAUCGUAUUCGACUAGUUCUCUAGAAGAGGAAUGAGUCAUA
rnacentral:lncRNA from 1 species